UACGUAGGGAGCAAGCGUUAUCCGGAAUUAUUGGGUGUAAAGGGUGCGUAGACGGGACAGCAAGUUAGUUGUGAAAGCCCUCGGCUUAACUGAGGAACUGCAACUAAAACUAUUGUUCUUGAGUGCAGGAGAGGAAAGCGGAAUUCCUAGUGUAGCGGUGAAAUGCGUAGAUAUUAGGAGGAACACCAGUGGCGAAGGCGGCUUUCUGGACUGUAACUGACGUUGAGGCACGAAAGUGUGGGUAUCGAACAGG
rnacentral:rRNA from 1 species